UCCCUACAGCACUCCUCUAGCUCUCCCCUCCCUUGAGCGUGGACACAAGCUGUACGCUCUUCCCGGUCGCCACAGCCCGGGUGUGUUGGGAAACUUCAGUGUCUCCCCUACGGACAGGUUGGGCGGUGACAUGGCUUUGCGAGAUUACCCGCUUAGUGGCCAAAAAUCAUAUUAAAGAUAUUUUCGGUGUCGUUAUCUGGUAUCAAACAGGGCAAAGCGAUGUACCUUUCAUGAAAUAAACUACCAUCGUGCACGCAGUCAAGAAAAUGCUUACCCUCUACCCCAGACCCCUGCAAAAAGUGUCUGUAGCAGGAGCUAAACUCAGUAACUACUGCCGUCCAACUGGCUGGCACACUGAAAUGCAAUUUCAAGUGAAGCAGCAGAGCCAUGAAAUACUGGGGGCAGGGAUGAGUGGAAUCAAAAGAAAACCAAAAACCUAGAAGACUCACCAAAGAAGAAGAAGCCCUGGAAGUUUCUGUUUUGUCCUGUUGGGAGCCCUAGGUCACCAUGUAAGAAGUUUGGUUACUCAGAUGGAAAAAGCACACAGGGACCAUGUGGAGAGGCCAUGUGGACCAGGAGAGACCUUGGGUCUACAUGGAAGAAGGAGGCCUGCCCAUCCCAGCAUCCAACUGAAUUGGUCUUCCAGCCAUCCCCGCGAAAGCACCAGACAUGUGGGUGAAGCUAUUUUGAAUUUGCCAGGCCAAGUCACCAUCUUACUACAACUGCAUGAGAAACUGCAGAAAAAGCAACAGAACAACCACCCAGUUGAAACCAGUUAACUUUUAGAAUUACUGGAGUUGAUAAUAAAUU